AAGAAAAUAAAAAUAACCGGCCGGGUGCGGUGGCUCACGCCUGUAAUCCCAGCACUUUGGGAGGCCGAGGCGGGCGGAUCACGAGGUCAGGAGAUCAAGACCAUCCUGGCUAACACGGUGAAAUCCCAUCUCUACUAAAAAUACAAAAAAAUUAGCCAGGCAUGGUGGCGGGCGCCUGUAGUCCCAGCUACUCGGGAGGCUGAGCUGACUUUGGUGUGUCUGCCAAGAAUCUGAAGACUCUACAGAAACGAGAUUCCUUCAUCGGCACGCCUUACUGGACUCUGUGUUCCGGGUUGCUGCUGCCAUCUCGCGGUAGGCAUCGGAACUGCAGCAGGACGUGGCGGGGAGCCGCGUGGAGGCGUUUUUCUGUGGAAGAGCGUCCUAAGGAAGACAGUGGGAUGCAAAGUCACGCAGAUCAUGAUUCGGGAGUGCUGCCAACCCCGACAGUGGCUCGUGGUGGCCCUUGACCCUGAAUGUCCAAGAAGCACCUGUAAAGGCCAGAUUCUUAGCCCUAUGUUGUCCCUUGGUUGGUUCA
rnacentral:lncRNA from 10 species